UGGGGAAUAUUGCACAAUGGGCGCAAGCCUGAUGCAGCCAUGCCGCGUGUAUGAAGAAGGCCUUCGGGUUGUAAAGUACUUUCAGCGGGGAGGAAGGUGUUGUGGUUAAUAACCACAGCAAUUGACGUUACCCGCAGAAGUAGCACCGGCUAACUCCGUGCCAGCAGCCGCGGUAAUACGGAGGGUGCAAGCGUUAAUCGGAAUUACUGGGCGUAAAGCGCACGCAGGCGGUCUGUCAAGUCGGAUGUGAAAUCCCCGGGCUCAACCUGGGAACUGCAUCCGAAACUGGCAGGCUUGAGUCUUGUAGAGGGGGGUAGAAUUCCAGGUGUAGCGGUGAAAUGCGUAGAGAUCUGGAGGAAUACCGGUGGCGAAGGCGGCCCCCUGGACAAAGACUGACGCUCAGGUGCGAAAGCGUGGGGAGCAAACA
rnacentral:rRNA from 1 species